AGGUUUGGCACCUUUUGGUUCAAAUCUUGGAAGUCCGGCAAGAAUGGAUUAGAUGUCCCUGUUCUAAAGACGCUCGUUCUUGUGGCAACUCGAGCAAUUAGUAAUGAAGAAAUUCUCCUGAACUACAGAUUGAGCAACUCAAAGCAAAGACCACCAUGGUACACUUCAGUGGAUGAGGAAGAAGAUCGAAGGAGGUGGAGCUAAGAUGAUAAUCAAUGGUGCAUGUUGAAGUGUACUAACCAUGAAAACAAGUGCAUUUCUCUAUACGACGCCAGGAGAACAGUGAGAACAUUUAUUUUGGUGACUAUAAUCUGGUUCACUUUUGGUUUUACAUCUUUUUGAAUAGUUUGCUUGUAGCAAUUAUGGCUAGUGGCCAAGUCAACCUGUUAAGAACAUGAUUUGCUGAGCUGGACAACAGAGCUACUAUGCUUUGAACUAACCGCGAAUUAUUCUUACAUGAGUUGCAUAAUAAGCGGAAAAGGAAUCCAUCCUUGUUAUAGAAAAUAUUAAAUGUUAUUCUGAUUGCUUAUGAAAUAUGAGAGCCUUCAUUUUCUCAUUUGAUUCUUGGAUGAUUACUCCAGCUUCCUGUGUUUUAUGUAUGUUUCUUUAUAAAUGAUAGUACUUCACUAAUCUACUUUACACCCCACAGAUUUGUAAGCAAUGUUGAUUUAAUGCAGUCAUCAAAGUUUUGAUGUACACUGAGACGUUUGUUUUGUCUUUUAAUGUAUUCUUCCCCUCCUUCUAUGAUUGAUAAAACACUGAGCUGGUAUGCAUAUAGAAAAACAUGCAUGAUUAGUCAUAACCACCAUAGUAAUGAACUCUUGUUUGAUGAAUGCCGAUGCAUGCUCAUACGUGACGAUCCAUUUCAAUGCAUAAAUUGAAUGAUAUUUGUAUUCAAGUAUUGCACAAACAAAAGCAGAAGGUGUAACAUAACUUAGAUGUUACUAUUUAUUAGCAACUAGAAGUUUGGGAUUGAGACGUAGUAGUUGUUGUAUUAGGAAGUAAAGAAGAGAUAUGCUAGAACAGGAAGCUUGCCCUCUCCAAUAAUUACACUGAUCAUGCCCUGCAAGCUGUGAACAAUUAGCAGGCUACUUGAGAUUAGAUGUUGCUUUGCCUAUGUUUAUGUAGUAAGUGCUCAUAGACAAAUGUAACGUCGUUUUUCUGCAUUUUUUAGUUGUGUCUGAAAGAGAGUGCAGGGGAGAAUUGUGAUUACAAAUGAGCAAGAAGGUUGUCAGUAUUUUGGCGUGGCCUACAUUUUGCUAGCAAUGGUAUUGCUUUGGGCAUAGUGAGUCCAGGUCCUCCAGUCAUGUCAACCAGCUCUUCACUUACUCUCUCCCAUUCAAAGCACUGAAUAAGUGAUCCUAAUGCCAAACCAGCCACAUGCAUUGCCAAAUUCUCACCUGGACAUCCUCUCCUGCCAUAUCCAAAUGGCAUUAGCCUGAACCCGUCUCGUUGACCUUUGAAAUCGAUAAACCUUUCAGGCUUGAACUCAUUUGGCUUGUCCCACAAUUUAGCAUCAUUUUGUAUUGCCCACAAAUUCACUAGCAACAUUGUCCCACGGGGUACAUGAAAACUUCCAACGAUACACUCAUCCGAGGACUCGUGUGGCACAAGUAAUGGAGCAGCUGGGCACAAUCGGAGAGUUUCGUUUAUGAUUCCAUGGAGAUAAGGGAGUUGAGCAAGGUCCGAUUCAUCAAGUAAUCUUGAUGCCUCUCCAAGGUGAGUGUCUAUUUCAUUUUGAACUUUCUUUAGUGCCUCAGGAUUGUUCAGAAGAAAUGAUAAUGCCCAUUCCAUUGUGCUAGCUGUAGUAUCAGUCCCUGCUGUUAACAUGACUAUUCCCAUGCCCUUUAUCACUUCAUCUGUGUAAUAAUCAGGCUCUGAAUCUUGGAGGGAUAAGAGAACAUCAAUCAUGGUAUUGUUCUUUUGCUCUAAAGAAGAUCCCUUUCGACGGUUCUUGUGCUCUUCAAUCAAUUCUUGCAUGAAUUUAUCCCUCUUCUCCUGCAGUAACUUAACCUUAUCCUCAAGUUUGUUUACUCCUAUCCAUUUAAGUAGUGGCACAAAAUCUCCUAUAUUUGUUGCACCACUCACUUGGAAAGUUUCUAUAACAAUCUCUUUAAACCUCCUAGAUUCCUCCAAUUUCCCAGCAGAAUCACCAUAGUAUCUCUUCCCAGCAAUCAUCAUCAUCAAGAUAUUCAGUGUCAUCUCAAAGAAAGCCGCCUUCAUAUCCACCACAGUUGUGUUAGUAUCUCCACCACUGGUUUCCCCCCUUAGAAGUCGUUGCAGCAGAGCCCGAACCUCAUCUCUACGGAUAUCAGCAAACAUUUGAACUCUCUGAGUGGACAAGAUUUCAUGAGUAGCAAUCCUUCUUAGGUUGCGCCAAUGUUGGCCAUAGGAUGCCCAAACAAGGCUGGUAUAGUUGUAACCAAGAUGUUUUCCAGCAAGCAGCCUCACACGAUUGGCAAAAACAAUGUCGUUUUUGGUGAAACAUUCCUCUGCAAGAGAAGGGGAGGAGACAACCAAGACUGGACGCGAUCCAAAUCGAAGGUAAAGCAAAGGACCAUGUUUUUCUGAGAUGUUGGCUAAUGUUUUAUGAAGUGGUUUUUUCUUGAGUAGAUAUAGAUGGCCUAUAAUGGGCAAAGAGAUAAAGGGACUUGGUGGGAGAUUUUGGAAUUUUCCAAGGAAAUGGUUCUUUAGUAAGUAUAGGAAAGUGAAGAUGAGUAUGUAAUAUGAAAUUUCCAUGGUUGAUGCAAAAACAAGCAAAGAAGACUUCUUGACAACUUUGCUCACUUGAUCAUUAUUUAUACUAUUGUUGUCUAGGUAUCAUUUGUGGAUGGCAAGGUGCCAAGCAUGCUAGUAUUGUUAAACUAGGGUGAAUAGCAUGUCCCCACCAACAUAGGUAGUGGUGCAGCAAUGGAACUGCUCCAUUCUUAAUCAGAAGUCUCGAGUUCAACCUCUAGAUAUGGAGCAGAAUGAGCCUUGCAAUAUGUGAUCCGAAUUUAGUUGAAGCUCCGACACCGGACAUGGGAAAUAAAAAAAAUAAAAAUAAAGAAUAGUGUGGGCCCAAUAUUAUGAAAAUUCAAACUAUUAAUAAAUAUCUUUAUCAAAAUAACAAAUGUUAAGAGUAAAAAUAUGUUGGUCUAUUUUUGUUUCAAAUAUAUGCAAUGGAAAGUUUAUUAUGUUUUAAUUAUAUUUUAAACUUUCAAUUAUCUAGGAGUAAAGUAGAGCAUGACAUCAUUAUUAAUAGAUUAAAGGUCUAUUAAAAUUGAACACAUGUUUACCUGUGAAAUUGAAUUUUUAAUGAAGAGGAAAGAAUGGACAUUUUUGGGAAUUGUUGAUAAGGUUCAAAUAACAAAGCAAAAAAAAAGAGUUUUUUAAAACAAGUUGAUCUUGCAAAAUGUUUUAAGAUCAUAUCUUUUAAUUUAAUAUAUAGAAAAACAAUAAUAAAGUACGACAAUAACUUGCGUUCACGCAUUUGAAAUUGACAUAUUAAAAUCAUAUCUUUUAAUAUAUAGAAAAACAAUUUUGCGUUCACGUAUUUGAAUUCUUUAAGAAAGAGCUCGAUUAUUAAUUAAACCAUAAGUGAAUUCAUGGACUUUGUUGAAUUAUUUUUUUUGACCAAGUGUAUGAGCCAUGAAUUGUCCUGGAAUUUCUAAAAUGUCCCAAGAAAAAAAAUUCUGACAAAAUAAUUUCCUCAACACAGCUUAACUCUGUCAAGUCUGUACGAAUAGUAAAUAAGUAUAUAUCUUCUUAAGACUAUUUGGAUGUACAAUUCAAUUUCGAUAGUAAUAUUCUAUUUCAGUUGCACAAGGUCAAGGCUUCAAAUUAAAGGAAUGAUAAACUUUCUAACUUUAUGAAUUGGGCUUCUGCACAUUGGGCACAACCUAUUAUCAACAUCCAUGAUCCUGCAGGAAACUACUCUCAUGAGAAUCUUCAUAACUAUAUUGAGAGAUUGAGAUCUAUAUUGCUCGGACUUUUCAAAAAUGCUCAUCGUUGAGCCCGGAUCCUCUAAAAUACCCUCUUUUGGAGGAUUCAACUAAGUUGUUCAGAUCCUUCAUUUUUGGUGUUGCACCCGUAUAGUCACGACGUAGGUGUGGCUGUGAGAUCCGUACCCAAUCGGGUCAAUCGGUUUUGAGUACUUUGACCAAAUUCGAGGGAGAAAUUCUGAACAGAUGCAAUGAUUAAUUUAAUCAAAACAAAAACUGAGGUGAAAUUGAAGAAAAUGAAACACAUUGUAUUUAUAUAAAAAAUUUCUCAAGUUUUCCACGUAAUAUCUCAUACAUUUAAGCUAUAUAACUCUAUUUUUAAAUAUUUGAAUUAUUUUUAGCACCUGCAUCCACACGGAUCCGUAUCCUCGAAUCUUAAAAUUUAGAUCAUAGAGGAUCCAACCUCUAGAUCCGCCACCUGUAUCGGACACUUGCACCUGAGUUCAAGCAACUUAGGGAUCCAACACAGGCAUGACACAAUUUUUGGAGAAUCCGAGCAACAUAGAUUGAGACUGUGUGAAAAGUCAAAAACAUAAUUUACCUUUGGGCACAUACUUGGCAAGUUGCACAAUGACCACAAGGAACAAAGAAACAGUUUCUUGAAUUGUCAUAGCAGAUAACACAUAUUCUUUCAUCAUAUAAAUCCUCUGAAGAACUUGAUCUGCCACAAUUUGCCUCUUCUUCAUAUGUUCCAUAAAUUGAUUUUACUUCCUGAUGCUGCGAAAUUGGAUCGCUCUCGGUUACUGCAUAACUUUCAUCAUGACAAGCCCCCAAAGAUUUCAGUAUAGAGCAAGUGAUUAUAACUGCUAGUCCUGUUGCAACAUUAGUUAAAGCCAACAUUUUUACUACUAAUACAAUUCUUGAUCUAUUAUGUAACUUUCAAUUGCUUGAGAGAUUACCUAAAACUCCAAGAAAAGUGACGAAACGAGCAAUGAAAGAUAUCUCAACAUACGUUUCCAGACAGGUCUUGCUGCAGCAGUUGACACAUUAUUGAUUCAUUAUGUCUCACAUUCUUGAUGUUUAUAAAGAAAAGGUUUGGACUUACAGUAUCAGGUGUUGCCAGAAUGACGUAUUGAGGAGACAGGUAUGACAAAUUGAGACACAUGCUCUUUGCUUUCGUUAUAUCGUACAUUGUUGAUGAAAUGUACACAUUCAUGAGAAGUAUGACACCUUUGGGGCUUGAUCAAUUUAUGAUGCCAAUGUUGUACCUGUCAUUUUCUUCAAUUCUGUAUGCUGCUUCGAUACCUUUAACCGAUGUGGAAUUAGUUCAAGAUUGUAACGAAUUCUAUUACAAUCAACUUAGAAACAAAAGAAAACAAGAAGAGUGUUAACUCUAGUCAAGAGUUUGUAAGUUGCACGCCUUAUUUUCUUGUUUGUUACUCCGUCAGUUUCAAUUCAUAUGACACUCUUUCCUUUUUGGGACGUUCCAAAAAUAUUUGACCAUUCUACUUAUGUACAACUUUCAAAUACUGAAAUUCAUUCAUCUUACUAACUCUGAUUUGAUAUUUGCUCUCUUUACAACCACUACUCUAAUGAAGUAUUCUCUUCCGUCAAUCUAAGUAUAUUAUAUAAGUUGUAUUAACAUUCUAAACUCACGGACAAAUCAAACACCAUCACAUAGUUAAACAGUUACAGAAAGCGUAUGAAACUUCAGGCUGUUACCAUCUGCAGUUCCAUUUGGUUUCCACACUCAAUUCAGGCUUCUCUGAGAACCCGUUAAGGAGAACUCCUUUCUUGCCAUCAUCUCUUACUUCAACUUGCUUCACAAACGGAGAACUCAUCCAGUCAUCCUGAGUAAUCGCGAUGAGCUAGGUCCAAGAACCAUGUGUCAAUCGCCAUAGAGGCUAAAGCUCAUACCUUAUGCUAAGCAACACUAAAAAAUGGAUAUUACAUGCCACAUAUCCAUAUAGGUAGCAAAACGAGCACACGAGUCAAUUUGUCUUGCCCUGUCCAUCAAUGAUAGCAAUAACAAUAACGAUUCAUGAUAAGAGGUUUAUUAACAAUAAUAGUGACUCAAAUUCAGGUUCUUGGAAACGAACAAGUGCAUUCAAUUGGCUCGACUCACUUGUCCUUUUAAGUUUAGGAAUUUGACUUCCCAUAUACUCAAGUGAUAUCAAAUAUGAAGAAUCAAAAUUCCUUAUAUCCCGACAAUGCUGAAUCUUCAAGACCUUCAGGGAUUGAAAUUUACGGAGAAAUCCGUCAGAUGUCCUCACACUUGAUAGCUCUAAAGAUUUCAGGUUCUGAUAUUCAUCAAUAUCCAAUAUUUUCGAUCCACAACCACAAUAAGACAAGUGUUCAAGAGUUGGUAGUUGGAUUUUAGCAUGUUUGUUUCCAUUAGCUGUUAUGGAAAUUGACUUGAUCUUUUGAAGUUUCAAAAGCUCAAUAUUUUUCAACCCCCAACAAUGCUUAAGGACGAAAGAGACCGUCAAGGACAACUAUUAAAUAGAGUUUGAAGCAUGUUAUCAUCUAAUUUUAGAUAAGACGGAGAAAGCUUUCUCAAAGAAUGAGAAUACGCGGCACCACUAGAUAAUAAUGAAACAUGGCUAAGAUCACAACCACAUAAAACUCAUUUAUUGUAACGAUCAAUUUGGUGUGAUCGCGUCAUUACCUUAUUAUUUUUUUCUUUUUUGUCUCUAUUAUUUAAUACUACUAACUAUAUUUCAUUUUUUAUUCUAUCUUUUCAUAAUAGCUAUAUCUCGUACUCUACUUUUCUUGUAGAUUUAUCACUCAAUUACAGAGGUGUAACAUUAUGUAAGGACAGAAAGUGGCCCAACUGAACAAAAAGCCCACCUCUCUCUCUCCAUUGAUUUCCCAAAGAGGGAAUGUAAUGGAGGGAAAUUCAAAUCUCACUUUUCAAAAUUCAAUCUGAAAAAACAAUUAGCCAAAAAUUUGCCCCAACAAGACAACUCCUUAUGGCGCCAUAUAUAUAUACAUGCGUACACACAGAGGAAAAGGGAGCAGCAAGCGAUGGCAGACCAAGAAAAUUUUGUAAGAGUAACUCGAUUGGCCAAGAAAAGGGCAGCAGAAGCAAUGGUUCAGCACUUGCAACAACCCAACAAGAAGAGAGUUGUGUUGAGUGAGAUUCAAGAUUUGUCUAAUGUGGGUAUCAAUCAGAUUGAGAACAAGGUGUUUGUUUCUGAGCCUCUGAGACCCAAAUGUAAGCAGAUUACUAGGAGGAAGGUGAAAAGCUCUGAUGACCCUCAGAUGUGUAGUGCUUAUGUUUCUGAUAUAUAUGAUUAUCUUCAUCAAAUGGAGGUUAGUGCAUUUUUAUUUACUCUUUUCCAUAAAUUUUGAAUUUAACUAUUGUUAUAUAUAGUUUAUUUAUUUGGGUGUUACCUAAUAGAGCUUGAUUUGGUUUCUUAUGGAUGAUUUUGGAAAUGGGUACUCUAAAGAUUGGAUUUUUGGCAAAUGGGUUGUGGUUUAUGUGAUUGAAUUAGCAAAUCUUGAUUUACAGCUAUUUGAAGUUGUUUGUGUUUGUGUGAAGUACUUUAACAAGUUAUUAAUAUUGGGGCUUUUGAGUUUUUGACUUACUCUGCGGUUUAUCGAAUCAGAUUCAGAAACAGAGAAGACCAUUGCCUGAUUACCUUGAGAAGGUUCAGAAGGAUGUGGGUGCAAACAUGAGAGGGGUUUUGGUCGACUGGCUAGUCGAAGUUACAGAUGAAUACAAGCUUCUUUCGGACACAUUGUAUCUUACUGUUUCCUACAUUGACAGAUUCUUAUCAGUGAAUGUCAUCCCUAGAAAGAAACUUCAGCUUUUGGGUGUUUCUGCUAUGCUCAUUGCUGCGUAAGUACCGGAGCCAAGAACUGGUUUUAUUCCCCCACCUCCCUGGCGAUGUGUUUUUUGCUUGUGAAUCUUAUAUAAUCUGUUGAUAAUGAUCAGGAAGUACGAGGAGAUUAGUCCUCCAGAUGUUGGGGAGUUUUGUUAUAUUACAGACAAUACAUAUUCAAAGAAAGAGAUGGUAAAGAUGGAGGCUGAUGUGCUAAAAUGCCUCAAAUUUGAAAUGGGAAAUCCCACAACCAAAACUUUUCUUAGGUAGCUAACUGUUUUGCGAAUAACUAGACGUGCAUUUGUAAUGAUCAUAGUUUCUCGACUAAUAUGACUUUAUUUUCUUUGGUAUGCAGACAAUUUACAGUAGUUGCUCAAGAAGAUAACAAAGUAAGUGCACAAAUAUGACAUGAACAUUAUGAUUUUCAAUUCAAUUGUAUUUGUGUUAAAUGUUUGCUAAUUUUGUUUUUUCCCUUCUUUUUUACAGAAAAACCAUUUGCAGUUAGAGUUUCUCGGCUACUACCUAGCAGAGUUAAGUUUAUUGGAUUACAACUGUGUGAAGUUCUUGCCUUCUUUGGUAGCUGCUGCUGUGAUAUUCCUUUCAAGGUUCACAUUACAGCCAAAGUCACAUCCUUGGGUACGGAUGUUAAUUUGAUUCAAACUUCACUUAUGUUUAGUUUCUUGAUAUGUUGAAGUGCUGAAUUAACUCUGUUUCAUAUUACAGUGUCUGUCCCUUCAACGUUGCUCGGGAUAUAGACCAGUGGAUCUAAAGGAAUGUGUUCUUAUCAUACACGACUUGCAAUUGAGUAGAAGAGGAAGUGCUUUGGCAGCUGUAAGGGACAAAUACAAGCUGCAUAAGGUAUUAUUCCGCGUGUGUUUGAUAAUUGGUGAUUUUGUUGUAAAUACCGUCAUAGUUCAGUAGUCUGAUGUGAACUGUAUGAUUUUCCUGUAACAGUUCAAAUGUGUUUCAACAUUGUCUUCUCCUCUGGAAAUAACGGAUUCAUUCUUCGAAGAUACAAGACUGACUACUUAGCCAUAUGCUUGUGAAUUGGAAUAGGACUGCAUUCUUGGAUUUUUGUUUUUGGUUAACAGUAUAUUUUAUUAACGACCAAAAUAUGUACAUUUACAAGCACUGAAGCAGUCGUACAGGGGAUCUUGAAUACCUCUCUCUUCUUCUGCAGUCUUUCGAGUAAUCUUGACAAUAUCUUCUUCUCGAAAAGCUGCAAUACAACUCAAAUCUUCAGAUUUUUCAUCCUAAUUCUAGUGUCGUUAUAACUAACAAAAAAAUACUAUUAGAUUUUGAUUUAUUGGUAUCAUUAUGUCACUCAAAUACCUUUGGCGUAACACCCUAUAUGAGAUAAAUACUUGUCAAAUCCAAAAUACAAAGGAUGAUCUUGCUUCUUCAUGAACCAUGAUCAUAGUCACAACAUCCUAUUAAGAUGUGCUCUUCAUAUUCAAAAAUGAAGAGGACAAACGUUUUGCUAAAUUGGAACUCGAAAAAUACAAAUAAACUAGAAGAAUAUAGAUGAAAUUGUGCAAUAAAGCAAUAACUUCUAUUCCUUUCAUUUCAAAUUUGUCUUACUUUCCUUUUUAGUCUGUUUUAGAAAAACAUAUCUAUUUUCUUUUUUGACAUCUUUUUAAUUCUAACUUUACAUAUUAUAUGUUUAAGACUAUAAUAUUAAAAGGUAUUUCUGAACAUUCUACAAAUCUUUAGUCAACUCAAUAAGGAGUUUGAUGAAGAUGGAAACAUAUUGAAUUUUUGAGUGAAGGAAAAAAAAAUCAAUUUUGGAUGAAAAAUAAUGUCUAGAAAUCAUGGUGUAGAGAGAAGCGCACUUGCUUAAACUUCGUGUGAAAUCAAAAUCAAACAAACAAAUUGAAAUACAUGAAACAAUAUAGGAUUUUAUUUAGGGAAAGGGUCAAAAAUACCCCUUUACUUUUGUUUAUUAGUUAGAUUUAUCCUUCGUUAUAAUAUUAAGUCAAAUAUAUCCUCACCACUAUGAAAGUAUUUAAAUAUGCUUCUAUUUUGGACGGAAUUCCCAAAAAGACUCCCCGUGAGCCCUUACUUUUUCAAAGGAUUGGCAAGACAUGAGAGACUCAACUCAUGCAUCGAUUUAUCGAAAUAACUCUUUGCUCUCCCACUUCCUUCUAUUCAAAAGGCAAGCAACCCCUAAACAAAAAGACCAAACAAACAAAAAUCAAUUUCAUAAAUGAAAAUAGAAGGGUAUUUUUGACAUGUUUCCUUUUUAUUCCAGGAAAAAAGGACAAAUAUAUCUCCAAAUUAUCGUAAAUGAUAUGCAGAUACCCUCCGUCAUACUUUUGGGACAUUGGUGCCCCUGCCGUUCAAAAAAUAAGGCAUAUAUACCCUUUAUACUAACGGACAUGCACGUGUCAUAAUCUUAUCCACCGACCCGAUAUUUAUUAAAUAUCAGAUGACGGAUAGAAUUGCACCACGUGUCCCUGUUUAGCUUCCGUUAGAGUGGAGAGCAUAUAUGCUUUAGUUUUUGAACGGCAAAAACAUCAAUGUCCCAAAAGUAUAACCAAUGGUAUCUACAUACCAUUUACAUCAAUUCGAUGGUAUAUUGGUCCUUUUUUCCUUUUAUUCAAUUAUGGGGUGUGAUUUUCCAUUUGGACCAAAAAGUGUAGUCCUCGUACCAAAAAAAGAGAGGGAAACUCAAAAAUGGAGGGAGCAAUAGUAUAUUUUUUUUAAGAUUUCAAAACAAAUAAAAUGCUGAGACCGUUUUCUACCAUUGGCCAUCACUGUUCCCUAUUUCUGGGUUCAACACACAUAAGGGCUGUGAAAGCUAACAAUGGUGAAGGCGGGAAGCAAAAGAGGUGCAGCAGCCAAAGAAGAACCCAAUGACGGAGCAGUGUAUGAGAAGCAAAGAGCCGAUAGAAUCAAAGAGAACAAAGAGAGACUGCACAAACUUGGCAUUCUGGAGCUCACAAGGAACCUAAAUCCCACUUCCAAGAAACUCACCACUCCUCGAAUCAGCCGCCCGGCGGUGUUAACUGACGACCCACCUCGCCGCUCUUUUAGGUAUUGAGUCUCAUCCUUCCUUAACUAGAGUUUUUGGGUUCGAGUUUAAAAAUGAAAUAAAUUUUGCUAGCUCUAUAAUCGGCCUUGGGUGUCCCAAAAUCAAAUUAGUUGAGAGAUUUAAUGAAAUAUCGAACACCGGAUGAAAAAAAAUUGGGGCUCCAAAGGCCUGAUUUAGUGGCUUGACCCUGGUUUUGAUUUUCCAAAAAAGUAGGAGAAAAGGAUGUGUUGGGUUGGUUCUUAUUGCUGUCUUUAAUGGAUAUAAAAUGUUCUCUAUAUGCUGAAAUAUGUUUAGUCAUAGAUAUUUUGGUGAUUGAUUGAGAAUAAAUGUUAAUAAUAAGCAUGAGCAGGGAUGGUGUUGGUGGCAGUUUUGAGUAUCAAAGGUUGGCCAUAUUCUUUUUGUGAAGGGUGGAAAAAGAUUCUGAUGCUUGUGAAGAAAAUGCCUACUUUUGGCUGUGAAAUAUUUUUCCAAGGAAAAUAUUUCCAACCAACUAACCAGUAAUAGUUUUGCGAUUGAGGCCUGAUUAAGAUGUGAUAAGGGUAUACACUUCUAAGCAUAUCGAAAUAAGAUAGAUAUAUACGACUAGUCGAGAGAAAGGAAAAGAAAGAUUGCUUGUGCUCAGUUUGUGUAUGGUUUUUUUCUUUUUCGGAUGGUCACCUUUUUCAUGGAAUGUCUCGGAGAUGGUCUUUCAUUCUAGUAAAACCUUUCUUGGUUUUGGUUUUUUCUAAUCGUGAAAGAUGUUCUUUAUAAAAUGAUGGUUACAUGUUUUUAGGUUGAAGGUUAAGCCUCCAGUUAGUUACAAAGAAAAGAGGAUUCCCAAGAUGGAUAAGGUAUCAACAGAGGAUGUGGAGAUUAACAUAGGAGAAGGUGAAAACCCUGAAUUCUACACAGAGGAACAUGAAAAGCUUUUAGGUGAUUGCCAGAAUGCUUGGACUCUCUAUGUUGAUGGUUAUGAUGAAGAUGGCCAGCGUGUAUAUGAUCCUGAUAAUGGCAAGUCAUGCCAUCAGUGCAGGUCUAAACAUUUGUUCUCACUGUCUGUUUUAUGUUGUUCUAUUGCUUAGUUAUCAUCUAGUCAUAUCUGUUCCCUGCGCACAGUUUCUUAGAAUAUGCAUCACUAAUUUAGGCCUCCUUUCAUGGGAUGAUGAAAACGACCAAGUCUAUGUUGUCUGAUCAAAAUAUUUCUUCUCCGUUUAGUAUGAAAAAUGAAGCUUUUCUUCCCAUUGUGGAAGCUAGCUUAAAGCAUGUGGUUGUUAAGAUUGAAUAUAAUAUUGUUUUUGAACUUCGGGCAUGAAUAUGUCCACAAGAAUGCAUAUCAACUUGAAUAUUCAAAUGUGUUGUAUUCAUCUAAAGUUGAGACCAUUUUGUUCAUGAUAUUUGUCUUAAAGAGAUAGCAAAAUAGGUGUUCAUCAUUAAUUCAUUUUUGCAGUGUUGCUCUGAUUCGGCAUUUACUUUUCCCUAUCAGCACUUAGAAUUUUGUUAAACAAUAAGUUCUGCUGCCAAUUUCAUGAGAAACAUCCUUCUUUCUAUGAUCAAAAUGCAGUCUAUCUAACCUUCGCUUGUUUCAAUUUAUUACUUUAUUUGAAAAAAAAAUAUUUGAUACAAUUGCAGGCUGAAAACUCUUGGUCAACGCACUGCGUGCAGCAAUUGCAAGCUUGGUCAAGGACAAUUCUGUGGAGAUUGUCUCUACAUGAGGUGAUAACUCUUUGAUAUCCUCUUUAACCUUUUUUCUGUAGUAUUCCCUUUAGUAGCUAACUUUCUAUCCUGAAUUCAUAUGACCGUAUUGGUGUUACUUCAAAACUACAGUUUCCGAUGAUCUUAAUGCCCAUGUGAAAUGUCUGGAUCUAAUAUUUGAGCUUGCACAUCAUGUAGGUAUGGAGAGAAUGUCAUUGAAACAAAUGAAAAUGUAAACUGGAUUUGCCCUGUCUGCCGAGGAAUAUGCAAUUGCAGUCGAUGCAGGCGUGAAAAGGGGUAUGCAGCAACUGGUGCAAUCUACAGAAAGGUAACCUCUUUGGCCCUUUUAUGCUUGGUUCAUUCCACCAGUAAAGGCUAGAUUGCUUGCCUGAUGAUUACAAAUAAUUCUCUUUUUAUGUAUAUAUAUAAGUUUGAGUUGAAGAUAGCCAUUCAAUCCUAAGGAAGUUAACAUGUUCCAGGUACUGCAUCUUGGUUACAAAUCUGUGGCACACUACCUUGUCAAAACUCGAAUGCGUAGUGACCACGAAGAUCUAAGCUCUGCAGAUUCACCUUCCAGAAAGAGUACAGUGCCAUUCACAGAGUUCACUAAUACUCUCUCAACUUCUCAAACUGAUGAUAACAAAACUUUGAAGGGGGAAGAACGCACACACUGUGACGGUGAUGAUGCAAAUUGUGAUGAAGAAGAUGUCAACGAGUGAAACAAUGAUAAAAGAUAAGAAUGUUUUUUGCCUGACAAAGACUGAAAGUGGAAAAGACCCUAUAUGUAAAGCACAUAUUACUAAAUCAGCUCGGUUAACAGUAAGUUACCUUUUUUUGUUUGGAUAUAAACAUUUUGUAAGCAUUUCAAUGGUGGGAAAAGCUUGUAUUUUGCUCGUGGUUAUUUUGCAUCUUUGUUUGACUGAUUAUGAUAAUCGAGCACUAACUUAACAGUUUCAUUUUUGCCUCGAAUCCUUUGAAAGAAAAAUUACGACAGGUUUUUGCUUGCUUCUAAAAUUAUCUGUAGUAUUAGAAUCUAAUGUAGAAACUGUAUCUUUUACUAAGUAGUUUCCAGCUAAAUAAACAAAACCAUUCAACUCAUUGUUCACGAUCCAUUGUUUCAACGAAGGGAAAUUAAAGGAAACAGGUGAGUAACUCUGGUUCUUCUGCAUUUCCAUGUUUAGACCUCGGGGACGGAUGCAAGUAAAACCUUCUUUCUUUGAUAGCUUUCUCUUCUUCCACUUUAUUUAUCUUCUCAAUGGAUGGAGAAGCUCGUUUAUUCGGACGAGUUGAGGGACUUGGGAUGAUGAUGGGAUGAAACUGGGAAUAAGUGAUUUCUAUGUCUGGUCUUCGACAUUGUCUGCGAUGGUGGAGUUUUGAUAUAUUCGGCUGCUUUUGUGCUUUUGAAGUUUUGUUGUUGCUGCAAUUUUGGGAUUUACAUCACUACAUUCAGAUGUACCAGUUAAUCGUUGAACGACUUCUCGGAAGCAAGAUAAGUCUGCUUGUACGAAUGUUGUCAUGUCUUUCGAUAAGCCUGUACGGAUCGUUGUCAUUUUCAUGUGUUCACUGAUUUUUUAUCUGCAAAACAUUCUUCCUAAUUAGUUAUGCUUCCAUUUUCCUAGCCAGAAAUUGCCUAUGAUGAUAAUUCCACCAUUUACAUAUAUAAAAGAAAGGUCAAAAUCACACCUAAAGUAUCUCGAUUUUUUAGCUACGUACCUAAAUUAUUAGGCAUUUGAAUUUUCUACUUGAACGAUGAUGAUAUUUCAGGUAGAAAACUUGUGUGAUUUUGACCUUCCACUCUGCUAAAAUCAUGAAUCAUUCGACACAAAAAUACAAUUUAAACAAACAUCUUGGCUAAAUAUGACAAUUGACAAACAAAAUAGACUCAUAACAAUGGUUUUCGAAAAUUGUUUCAAACAACAUAUUUCAGUAAAACUUAGUCGCCACUAAUAAAGUAGACCAUGACUCUUCUAGCCAAAAAGUUUAGUUAGCUUUUGUUUUAAUAAUAAAUUACUAAUAAUUGAAUGCAAUAUAUGUUUGAAAAAAGUUAAGUAUAAUUGAUAUUUGCUCUGGUGGUGGAUUCUUAAAUCUUGUCCUUUAUCCUAUCCAAAAUUUUAGAGAGUAAAAGAAUCUUUAGUUAUUAACAAUUUCCUCAUAAAGGACCCUAGAUUAUUUGUCAAGGAAAAAAUAGUCCCUAGAUUAAUACAAGUCCUUUCAGAAUAACAACAAUAGUAAUAGCUAGUGACAGUAACACCAAAUAAUCCUGGUAACUUGCUUAUGUUCAUUUGUUAAUAGAUACAUCUUGUACUAAAUAUUUAAUUUCUUUUCACUUUUCAAUUCUUUUUCCUUUUUGAUUUUGGUAAUGUAACAAGUAUUAUACUCUACGCAUGUGAUUACCAUAAAAUUCAAAUAUAACAGCUAGAGUAACUGAUUUUGCUUUCAUAACCAUUUUGGAUUUGAUCAUACUUUCAUUUUUCUUGUUGUUUGGUUUGUUUAGUAUUGAGGUUACAGUAAGUAGAAAUAAAUAAAUAUAAUGUUAAUGAUGCUUUUUUUUAGGACUUUCUGGAAAUUAUUAACUUAAUUUUGUCAUCUAAACAUUUUGGUCGUUCGUAAAUGUCCAUGUCCUGGAAAUGUGGACCCAUAAGUAUUUGUUGGACAGUUCUCAUAAGUUAUGUACAAUAAUCUCUUGAAAAGUGAGCUAGGACAUAAGAUCAUAGUUCCAAUAUCAUUUUGGUGGUCUCACAUAGUGACAUAGAUUAUAUUCAAGCUUUCCAGUCGUCUCGGACAAAAGUUUUUCUUUUAUCUCUGCAAGUGUGGAUGACUUGAGUUAGCCUCAUUGCGUCCUGGAUUUUGAAAAGUGUUCUGUUUUCAGCACAGCUAUACCUGAAAGCAAGCCAUUGAAGCGCUUAGAGGUUUCACAGAGUUUAAAGGAUCUUAUGGGCUACACUCUCGAGGUCAAACCAUCUCAAACUCCACAUGAGGAUGCUGGGCAAGGUUUAUUCAUACAUGGUGAAGCUGAUGUUGGUACUGUGUUAGCAUUCUAUCCUGGUGUAAUAUACUCUCCUGCAUACUACCGCUAUAUUCCUGGAUAUCCAAGAGUUGACGCCCAAAAUUCGUAUUUGAUCACAUGGUAUGAUGGAACUGUGAUAAAUGCACAGCCCUGGGGUGCUGGUGGUGAAUCUCGAGAAAUAUGGGAUGGAUUGUCUCUUCCUGAACCUAAGCACAUCAUGAAAGCUGAUGGGAAGGGUUCUGAGCGAAUAUGGAAAAUGCUCAGUAAGCCAUUGGAUGGAACACGUCUAGGAGGCAACCAUGAAGUGCUGGAAAGGAGAAACCCUCUAGCCUUUGCUCACUUUGCCAACCACCCAGCAAGGGACAUGGUACCAAAUGUAAUGGUAUGCCCUUUUGGUUCAAAUCUUGGAAGUCUGGCAAGAAUGGAUUAGAUGUCCCUGUUCUAAAGACGCUUGUUAUUGUGGCAACUAGAGCAAUUAGUAAUGAAGAAAUUCUCCUGAACUACAGAUUGAGCAACUCAAAGCAAAGACCACCAUGGUACACUCCAGUGGGUGAGGAAGAAGAUCGAAGGAGGUGGAGCUAAGAUGAUAAUCAAUGGUGCAUGUUGAAGUAUACUAACCAUGAAAACAAGUGCAUUUCUGUAUACAGCACUAGGAGAACAGUGAGAACAUUUAUUUUGGUGACUAUAAUCUGGUUCACUUUUGGUUUUACAUCUUUUUGAAUAGUUUGCUUGUAGCAAUUAUGGCUAGUGGCCAAGUUAACCUGUUAAGAACAUGAUUUACUGAGCAGGAGAACAGAGCUACUAUGCUUUGAACUAACCG
rnacentral:lncRNA from 1 species